rnacentral:rRNA from 1 species
AACGUAGGUACCGAGCGUUAUCCGGAUUUACUGGGCGUAAAGCGCGUUCAGGCGGUUUGGCAAGUCGGGCAUGAAAUCUCUCGGCUCAACCGGGAGAGGUUGUCCGAUACUGCUGGACUUGAGGGCAGUAGAGGGUGGUGGAAUUCCGGGUGUAGUGGUGAAAUGCGUAGAUAUCUGGAGGAACACCAGUGGCGAAAGCGGCCACCUGGACUGCACCUGACGCUGACACGCGAAAGCUAGGGGAGCGAACGGG